CGGGACGUAGCGCAGCCUGGUAGCGCAUCUGCUUUGGGAGCAGAGGGUCGUGAGUUCGAAUCCCACCGUCCCGACCA
rnacentral:tRNA from 1 species